GACGAACGCUGGCGGCGUGCCUAAUACAUGCAAGUUGAGCGCUGAAGGUUGGUACUUGUACCAACUGGAUGAGCAGCGAACGGGUGCGUAACGCGUGGGGAAUCUGCCUUUGAGCGGGGGACAACAUUUGGAAACGAAUGCUAAUACCGCAUAAAAACUUUAAACACAAGUUUUAAGUUUGAAAGAUGCAAUUGCAUCACUCAAAGAUGAUCCCGCGUUGUAUUAGCUAGUUGGUGAGGUAAAGGCUCACCAAGGCGAUGAUACAUAGCCGACCUGAGAGGGUGAUCGGCCACAUUGGGACUGAGACACGGCCCAAACUCCUACGGGAGGCAGCAGUAGGGAAUCUUCGGCAAUAGACGAAAGUCUGACCGAGCAACGCCGCGUGAGUGAAGAAGGUUUUCGGAUCGUAAAACUCGGUUGGUAGAGAAGAACGUUGGUGAGAGUGGAAAGCUCAUCAAGUGACGGUAACUACCCAGAAAGGGACGGCUAACUACGUG
rnacentral:rRNA from 1 species